GAUGAACGCUGGCGGCGUGCCUAAUACAUGCAAGUCGAGCGAACGGACGAGAAGCUUUCUUCACUGGCGUUAGCGGCGGACGGGUGAGUAACACGUGGAUAACCUACCUAUAAGACUGGGAUAACUUCGGGAAACCGGAGCUAAUACCGGAUAAUAUUUUGAACCGCAUGGUUCAAAAGUGAAAGACGGUCUUGCUGUCACUUAUAGAUGGAUCCGCGCUGCAUUAGCUAGUUGGUAAGGUAACGGCUGACCAAGGCAACGAUGCAUAGCCGACCUGAGAGGGUGAUCGGCCACACUGGAACUGAGACACGGUCCAGACUCCUACGGGAGGCAGCAGUAGGGAAUCUUCCGCAAUGGGCGAAAGCCUGACGGAGCAACGCCGCGUGAGUGAUGAAGGUCUUCGGAUCGUAAAACUCUGUUAUUAGGGAAGAACAUAUGUGUAAGUAACUGUGCACAUCUUGACGGUACCUAAUCAGAAAGCAACGGCUAACUACGUG
rnacentral:rRNA from 1 species